CUUAAUUUGACUCAACACGGGAAAACUCACCAGGAUAGGACAGAAUGAGGAUUGACAGGUUGAAUAUGGUCCUUUCUUGAUUUUUUGGAAGGUGGUGCAUGGCCGUUCUUAGUUCGUGGAGUGAUCUGUCUACUUAAUUGUGUUAACGAACGAGACCUUAACCUGUUAACUAGGCACUAGUUGAAUUUUAUUCAUGGGUUUCUAACGAAAUCUAGGUCAUUCGGGUUUUACCCGAGCUUCUUAAAGGGACAAUACUGUGUAUUUUAUAUUUUAGCGUAGGGAAGUUUAAGGCAAUAACAGGUCUGUGAUGCCCUGAGAUAUCCUGGGCGGCACGCGUACUACAAUGUCAUUGACAACAGGCUUUCCGCUUCGGCGGGCCUCUACCAAAAUGUAGGGGAAAACGUGUCAAACACUUAUAUGACUGGGAUAGCUGUUUGUAAUUACAUCUUAAACGAGGAAUUCCUAGUAAGCGCAAGUCAUCAUCUUGCAUUGAUUACGUCCCUGUCUUUUGUACACACCGCCCGUCGCUCCUACCGAUUGGAUAGCAAGGUGAACUUGAUGGACUCUAACGAGAAAAUUUAUUAAACCUUUCCAUCUCUAGGAAGGAGAAGUCGUAACAAGGUACC
rnacentral:rRNA from 1 species